rnacentral:rRNA from 1 species
UACGUAGGGUGCGAGCGUUGUCCGGAAGUACUGGGCGUAAAGAGCUUGUAGGCGGUUUGUCGCGUCUGCUGUGAAAUUUCGGGGCUCAACCCCGAACUUGCAGUGGGUACGGGCAGACUAGAGUGUGGUAGGGGAGACUGGAAUUCCUGGUGUAGCGGUGAAAUGCGCAGAUAUCAGGAGGAACACCGAUGGCGAAGGCAGGUCUCUGGGCCAUAACUGACGCUGAGAAGCGAAAGCAUGGGGAGCGAACAGG